ACAAAGUUUGAUUUUUGCUUUGGGUUUUGUUUUAUAAUUAUUUAAUAUAUGUAAAUUUUAGUGGAUGCAUUCUGUUGAAAUUUGGGUGUGGUUAGGUUCAAUAUUUAAUAUUAGUAAUAGGGUUACUCUUGAGUUAGUAAAUUAUAGUAGGUUUGACAGAAUCUUGUGCCAGCAGUCGCGGUUAUACUUGGGGAUCAAAUGAAAUAUAUUAGUAAGAGUUAAUUGUUAGUUUUAUAGGAGUUUAUGUUUAUAAAGAGUGAAAUCAGAUUAUAAAAUAUAAAGGUUUAUAGGAAUGGGAGGUGAAGCUUAAAAGAUUAGGGUAUGGAUUAGGAUUAGAUACCCUAGUACACUUAAAUUUAAUUAAUAAGUACUAGAAUAUUAGAAGUUAUGUUCUUUAAAUUUAAAAAAUUUGGCGGUGUUUUAGUCUAGUUAGAGGAACCUGUAUUAUAAACGAUACAACACGCAUUAUCUUACUUACUUUAGUAAAUCAGUUUGUAUACCGUCAUUAUUAGAUAAUUUAUGAGAAAAUAUUAUUGAGGUCAUAUUAUUGAGUAUAUUAGAUCAAGGUGCAGCUUAUGGGUAAGUAAAUAUGGGUUACAAUAAAAUUUAUUUAAUAUGAAUUAGGUAUUUAAAUAUAUUUAUGAAGGAGGAUUUAAUUGUAAGAAAAAACAGUAAGAUUUUUUGAUAAAAGCUCUAAAUUAUGUACAUAUCGCCCGUCGCUUUCAUUUAAGGUGAAAUAAGUCGUAACAUAGUAGGGGUACUGGAAGGUGCCUCUAGAAUUAU
rnacentral:ncRNA from 1 species